AGGGUAUUAUCUUAAUGGUAAAAAAUAGUCUUAGGCUCUCUUAAAUAAUAAGAAUCCUAUUAGCUAUAUAG
rnacentral:tRNA from 1 species